GACGAACGCUGGCGGCGUGCUUAACACAUGCAAGUCGAACGGAAAGGCCCUGCUUUUGUGGGGUGCUCGAGUGGCGAACGGGUGAGUAACACGUGAGUAACCUGCCCUUGACUUUGGGAUAACUUCAGGAAACUGGGGCUAAUACCGGAUAGGAGCUCCUGCUGCAUGGUGGGGGUUGGAAAGUUUCGGCGGUUGGGGAUGGACUCGCGGCUUAUCAGCUUGUUGGUGGGGUAGUGGCUUACCAAGGCUUUGACGGGUAGCCGGCCUGAGAGGGUGACCGGCCACAUUGGGACUGAGAUACGGCCCAGACUGCUACGGGAGGCAGCAGUGGGGAAUAUUGCACAGUGGGCGGGAGCCUGAUGCAGCAGCGCCGCGUGCGGGAUGACGGCCUUCGGGUUGUAAACCGCUUUCGCCUGUGGCGAAGCGUGAGUGACGGUAAUGGGUAAAGAAGCACCGGCUAACUACGUG
rnacentral:rRNA from 1 species